rnacentral:rRNA from 1 species
AGCGAACGCUGGCGGCAGGCUUAACACAUGCAAGUCGAGCGGGCAUCUUCGGAUGUCAGCGGCAGACGGGUGAGUAACACGUGGGAACGUACCCUUCGGUUCGGAACAACUCUGGGAAACUGGAGCUAAUACCGGAUACGCCCUUAUGGGGAAAGGUUUACUGCCGAAGGAUCGGCCCGCGUCUGAUUAGCUAGUUGGUGGGGUAACGGCCUACCAAGGCGACGAUCAGUAGCUGGUCUGAGAGGAUGAUCAGCCACACUGGGACUGAGACACGGCCCAGACUCCUACGCAGGGCAGCAGUGGGGAAUAUUGGACAAUGGGCGCAAGCCUGAUCCAGCCAUGCCGCGUAAGUGAUGAAGGCCUUAGGGUUGUAAAGCUCUUUUGUCCGGGACGAUAAUGACGGUACCGGAAGAAUAAGCCCCGGCUAACUUCGUG